CCAAUAGCGUAUAUUAAAGUUGUUGCAGUUAAAAAGCUCGUAGUUGAACUUCAGGCCUGGCUGGACGGUCCGCCUUCCGGGCGAGUACUGUCUGUGGUCGGGUCCUACCUUCUGGCGAAGCGUCAUGGCCUUAACCGGCCGUGGCGGGGAACCAGGACUUUUACUGUGAAAAAAUUAGAGUGUUCAAAGCAGGCAAUUCGCUUGGAUACAUUAGCAUGGAAUAAUGGAAUAGGACAAUGGUUCUAUUUGUUGGUUUCUAGGACUGUUGUAAUGAUUAAUAGGGAUAGUUGGGGGCAUUAGUAUUCAAUUGUCAGAGGUGAAAUUCUUGGAUUUAUUGAAGACUAACUACUGCGAAAGCAUUUGCCAAGGAUGUUUUCAUUAAUCAAGAACGAAAGUUAGGGGAUCGAAGACGAUCAGAUACCGUCGUAGUCUUAACCAUAAACUAUGCCGACUAGGAAUCGGGCGAUGUUGAAAAAAUGACGCGCUCGGCACCUCAUG
rnacentral:rRNA from 1 species